GCCGGAAUUGCUAGUAAUGGCAGGUCAGCAUACUGCCGUGAAUACGUUCCCGGGCCCUUGUACACACCGCCCGUCACACCAUGAGAGUUGGGAAUACCCGAAGCCUGUGAGCUAACAUUAAGAGGCAGCAGUCGAAGGUAGAAUCAAUGAUUGGGGUGAAGUCGUAACAAGGUACC
rnacentral:rRNA from 1 species